UAAGCGACUAAGCGUACACGGUGGAUGCCCUGGCAGUCAGAGGCGAUGAAGGACGUUCUAAUCUGCGAUAAGCGUCGGUAAGGUGAUAUGAACCGUUAUAACCGGCGAUUUCCGAAUGGGGAAACCCAGUGUGUUUCGACACACUAUCAUUAACUGAAUCCAUAGGUUAAUGAGGCGAACCGGGGGAACUGAAACAUCUAAGUACCCCGAGGAAAAGAAAUCAACCGAGAUUCCCCCAGUAGCGGCGAGCGAACGGGGAGGAGCCCAGAGCCUGAAUCAGUGUGUGUGUUAGUGGAAGCGUCUGGAAAGGCGCGCGAUACAGGGUGACAGCCCCGUACACAAAAAUGCACAUGCUGUGAGCUCGAUGAGUAGGGCGGGACACGUGGUAUCCUGUCUGAAUAUGGGGGGACCAUCCUCCAAGGCUAAAUACUCCUGACUGACCGAUAGUGAACCAGUACCGUGAGGGAAAGGCGAAAAGAACCCCGGCGAGGGGAGUGAAAAAGAACCUGAAACCGUGUACGUACAAGCAGUGGGAGCACGCUUAGGCGUGUGACUGCGUACCUUUUGUAUAAUGGGUCAGCGACUUAUAUUCUGUAGCAAGGUUAACCGAAUAGGGGAGCCGAAGGGAAACCGAGUCUUAACUGGGCGUUAAGUUGCAGGGUAUAGACCCGAAACCCGGUGAUCUAGCCAUGGGCAGGUUGAAGGUUGGGUAACACUAACUGGAGGACCGAACCGACUAAUGUUGAAAAAUUAGCGGAUGACUUGUGGCUGGGGGUGAAAGGCCAAUCAAACCGGGAGAUAGCUGGUUCUCCCCGAAAGCUAUUUAGGUAGCGCCUCGUGAACUCAUCUCCGGGGGUAGAGCACUGUUUCGGCAAGGGGGUCAUCCCGACUUACCAACCCGAUGCAAACUGCGAAUACCGGAGAAUGUUAUCACGGGAGACACACGGCGGGUGCUAACGUCCGUCGUGAAGAGGGAAACAACCCAGACCGCCAGCUAAGGUCCCAAAGUCAUGGUUAAGUGGGAAACGAUGUGGGAAGGCCCAGACAGCCAGGAUGUUGGCUUAGAAGCAGCCAUCAUUUAAAGAAAGCGUAAUAGCUCACUGGUCGAGUCGGCCUGCGCGGAAGAUGUAACGGGGCUAAACCAUGCACCGAAGCUGCGGCAGCGACGCUGAUGCGUUGUUGGGUAGGGGAGCGUUCUGUAAGCCUGUGAAGGUGUGCUGUGAGGCAUGCUGGAGGUAUCAGAAGUGCGAAUGCUGACAUAAGUAACGAUAAAGCGGGUGAAAAGCCCGCUCGCCGGAAGACCAAGGGUUCCUGUCCAACGUUAAUCGGGGCAGGGUGAGUCGACCCCUAAGGCGAGGCCGAAAGGCGUAGUCGAUGGGAAACAGGUUAAUAUUCCUGUACUUGGUGUUACUGCGAAGGGGGGACGGAGAAGGCUAUGUUGGCCGGGCGACGGUUGUCCCGGUUUAAGCGUGUAGGCUGGUUUUCCAGGCAAAUCCGGAAAAUCAAGGCUGAGGCGUGAUGACGAGGCACUACGGUGCUGAAGCAACAAAUGCCCUGCUUCCAGGAAAAGCCUCUAAGCAUCAGGUAACAUCAAAUCGUACCCCAAACCGACACAGGUGGUCAGGUAGAGAAUACCAAGGCGCUUGAGAGAACUCGGGUGAAGGAACUAGGCAAAAUGGUGCCGUAACUUCGGGAGAAGGCACGCUGAUAUGUAGGUGAAGUCCCUCGCGGAUGGAGCUGAAAUCAGUCGAAGAUACCAGCUGGCUGCAACUGUUUAUUAAAAACACAGCACUGUGCAAACACGAAAGUGGACGUAUACGGUGUGACGCCUGCCCGGUGCCGGAAGGUUAAUUGAUGGGGUCAGCGCAAGCGAAGCUCUUGAUCGAAGCCCCGGUAAACGGCGGCCGUAACUAUAACGGUCCUAAGGUAGCGAAAUUCCUUGUCGGGUAAGUUCCGACCUGCACGAAUGGCGUAAUGAUGGCCAGGCUGUCUCCACCCGAGACUCAGUGAAAUUGAACUCGCUGUGAAGAUGCAGUGUACCCGCGGCAAGACGGAAAGACCCCGUGAACCUUUACUAUAGCUUGACACUGAACAUUGAGCCUUGAUGUGUAGGAUAGGUGGGAGGCUUAGAAGUGUGGACGCCAGUCUGCAUGGAGCCGACCUUGAAAUACCACCCUUUAAUGUUUGAUGUUCUAACGUUGACCCGUAAUCCGGGUUGCGGACAGUGUCUGGUGGGUAGUUUGACUGGGGCGGUCUCCUCCUAAAGAGUAACGGAGGAGCACGAAGGUUGGCUAAUCCUGGUCGGACAUCAGGAGGUUAGUGCAAUGGCAUAAGCCAGCUUGACUGCGAGCGUGACGGCGCGAGCAGGUGCGAAAGCAGGUCAUAGUGAUCCGGUGGUUCUGAAUGGAAGGGCCAUCGCUCAACGGAUAAAAGGUACUCCGGGGAUAACAGGCUGAUACCGCCCAAGAGUUCAUAUCGACGGCGGUGUUUGGCACCUCGAUGUCGGCUCAUCACAUCCUGGGGCUGAAGUAGGUCCCAAGGGUAUGGCUGUUCGCCAUUUAAAGUGGUACGCGAGCUGGGUUUAGAACGUCGUGAGACAGUUCGGUCCCUAUCUGCCGUGGGCGCUGGAGAACUGAGGGGGGCUGCUCCUAGUACGAGAGGACCGGAGUGGACGCAUCACUGGUGUUCGGGUUGUCAUGCCAAUGGCACUGCCCGGUAGCUAAAUGCGGAAGAGAUAAGUGCUGAAAGCAUCUAAGCACGAAACUUGCCCCGAGAUGAGUUCUCCCUGACCCUUUAAGGGUCCUGAAGGAACGUUGAAGACGACGACGUUGAUAGGCCGGGUGUGUAAGCGCAGCGAUGCGUUGAGCUAACCGGUACUAAUGAACCGUGAGGCUUAACCU
rnacentral:rRNA from 1 species